GAGGGCUUAGCUUAAUUAAAGUGGCUGAUUUGUGUUCAAUUGUUGCAGAAUAGAGUCUUGCAGUCCUUA
rnacentral:tRNA from 1 species